rnacentral:tRNA from 1 species
GUUUCUGUAGUGUAGUGGUUAUCAUGUUCGCUUAACACGCGGAGGGCGGGGGUUGAAAGGUCCCCGGUUUGAGACCGGGUGGAAACA